GGGGAAUUUUGGACAAUGGGUGCAACCCUGAUCCAGCCAUGCCGCGUGAGUGAAGAAGGCCUUCGGGUUGUAAAGCUCUUUCGGCCGGGAAGAAAUCGUGCAGGCUAAUACCCUGUAUGGAUGACGGUACCGGAAUAAGAAGCACCGGCUAACUACGUGCCAGCAGCCGCGGUAAUACGUAGGGUGCGAGUGUUAAUCGGAAUUACUGGGUGUAAAGGGAGAGUAGGCGGCAUGGUAAGUUAGAUGUGACAGCCCGAGGCGUAACCUCGGGAUUGCAUUUAAAACUAUCAAGCUAGAGUACAGGAGAGGUAAGUGGAAUUCCUAGUGUAGCGGUGAAAUGCGUAGAUAUUAGGAAGAACACCAGUGGCGAAGGCGACUUACUGGACUGAAACUGACGCUGAAGCUCGAAAGCGUGGGGAGCGAUCA
rnacentral:rRNA from 1 species